AAAAGCAAACCAUAUAUGUUCAAAAAUCAAAAAGGUUAAUUAUGUACCAAAUGACCUCCGUCAGACAUUAAUCAGUCUGUUGGAAAUCUUUCUUUAAAUUUUUAUGCUUAUUUUACAAAAUGUACCUCUGUUUGUAUGUCUGUAAGAUUCAAAUCCAUCAGAGAUUUCUGAGGAACUACAAACCAAGAGUUUCUGAAAGUCAUCAGUCCUCAUGUG
rnacentral:lncRNA from 1 species